GGAGAGAUCGCAUAGUGGUCGAGUGCGGCGCAGUGCUAAUGCGCUGUCCGAGAAAUCGGACCGAGGGUUCGAAUCCCUCUCUCUCCG
rnacentral:tRNA from 1 species